rnacentral:rRNA from 1 species
AUGGAACCCUAUGUUGGCAUGAGGUUUGACAGCCUUCAAAUUGCUAAGGAUCACUACAACAGCUACGCCCUACAGAUGGGUUUCUCUGUAAAAAUGAACACCUGUAGGCGGACACCCCACACAAAUGUAUUGGUAAAACGACAGUUUUGCUGCAACAAGUUCAAGAAGCCCAAAGCUGAUGAUGGAGGAGCUGAGGCUCCUCCUGUCAUGGACCCUAUACCAGAUCCAAAACCUAUUGACAGUGAUGAGGAGAUGGAAGAUGAACCUCCAAUAUUUGCUGAAGAGGAGGCUGGUACUAGUAAGAAAAAGAAGAAGCGUAAACGCGAGACAAUAAAGCAGACUCGAUGCAAGGCGAAAAUGUUGGUGAAGCUGAUAGAUUGGCGAUGGCAGGUGACGCACUUUGUUCGUGACCACAAUCAUCCGCUGGUGAACAAACCUUUGUUGUCCAAAUACUUGAGAUCCCAACAAGGCAUCUCUCCUGAUGAAAAGGAGUUUUUGCGCAUCUUGUAUAACUGCAACUUGACUACAGGUGAUUACAAUCCAAGUACCAUGACGGGCCGUGCUACUACAGGUGAUCGAACACAUCCUCGUGAUGGUCCUAUCCCGUUGGAGGCUGCAUCCCCUGCACAAGCCUCUGAUGAUUUUGUGCCCAAGGAUCCUCCAAGGUCUACUACAGAGGGUAGGGCAAAGAGUCGACAGUACAAAUCGAUGCUGGAGCUACACCCAAAGAAGAAAAACAAAUGCUGCCAGUGCCAAUCUACAGAGCACACUGCUGGUGUGUGUCCACUCAGGCUGCUGUGA